CAUGCAAGGGAUUUCCUUGCAACACCUUCCACUCUGUCAUUUCACAGAUUAUCGGCUGCAGCGAGGGCUUCCAGAGACCCCAUCCUAGCCGCGGUGCGUCGGGCUCUAGGGAUCCCUCCCUUGCUCUGAUGAUUGGAAGGAUUCCAUUCAGGACACUGCAUUGCAUUGAGUCAUCAAGUUCCCUUAGGCUCCUCUUGGCUGCCACAGUUCCUCAGACUUCCUUGUUUUGAGUGACCUUGACAGUUUUAAGGAGUAGUGGUCAGGGUUUUCUUUGGAAGGAAGUCACUAUGUGCAGCCUACACUUACGGAGUAGGAGCUAUGCUCCACCUCCUUCUUCUUUGAGGAUGGAGUCUACG